rnacentral:rRNA from 1 species
UACGUAGGUCUCGAGCGUUAUCCGGAAUUACUGGGCGUAAAGAGUCCGUAGCCUGCUAAUUAAGUCUGCUUUCAAAAACCUGAGCUCAACUUAGGGGAGGGGGUAGAUACUGAAUAGCUGGAGAUAUGUGGAGGUUAGUGGAAUUUCCUGUGGAGGGGUGAAAUCUGUUGAUAUAGGAAGGAACGCCAAAAGCGAAAGCAGCUAACUAUGCAUAAUCUGACGGUAAAGGACGAAAGCUUGGGUAGCAAACAGG